rnacentral:lncRNA from 1 species
GCAAUAGCGGAUGGCACCCUUCCCCCAUUGCCAGGCUAGCGGCAGCCAUUUUGAAAACUACAAAGUCAAAGAGUGCAUCUACACAUGCAAAACAUCAUUUUUGUAAAGUUUCAUUAAGUUUGGAGCAUUUUGAAAAUUUUGAAUUUUUUGCUGUUUCCAUGGUAACGGCGGCCAUUUUGAAAAUUCCAAACUCAAAAGUCAAGUCUACAUAAGCUAGGCAACAUUUGUUAUAAGUUUCAUUAAAUUUAAAGCAUUUUGAAGUUUUUCAUAUUUUUGCUGUUUCCAUGGUAACGGCGGCCAUUUUGAAUAUUCCAAUGUCAAACCCCCGCUGCAAUUUUUUCCCUCCAUAAUCAUAUACCAUUUAAUGUCUCUAGAAUAAAUUUAACAUUAAUGUUCUGGAAUGUUCUUUGAAAAUUCAAAGUUUUGACCUUUUUGCAUUGUUUCCAUGGUAACAACAGCUAUUUUGGAAAUUCCAACGCCAAAUGCCACAUCUUCCAAUGUUGCUCAUCGUUACUGUGAAGUUUCGUGAAGUUUGGAGCAUUUUGAGAUUUUUGAAAUUUUUGGUGUAGUUCCCAUGGCAACAUAGUAGUUCCAAUGAGUGCCAAAAUCAUCCAACACCUGUAUAUAGUGGGCACCUACAUUGUAUUAAAAUAUGAUGAUUCUGAGUUAAAGCAUUACCAAACAGUUCACCAAAACUAAAAACUGUAUUUUUUCACAUUUGUUUCUGUUUCCAUGGUAACGGCAGCCAUUUUUUACCAUUCCAAUGUCUCUUGCACAACUCCACAUGGCGGUUCAUAUUAUGGUAUAGUUCCAUCAACAUUGGUCUGCCCAAUUCUGAGAAAUAGUAUGGACAAAAUGUGUGGAAGAAUAAAAAUAAUAAUAAUAAUAAAAAGAAAAAAAAGAAACGAACAAUAACAAGAUGUCACCCCAACUCCGUUGAGGGUGCCAUAAAAAAAGAAACGUAGAAUAACAAUAUGUCACCCCAACUCCGUUGAGGGUGCCAUAACUAGAUUUGUAAUUGCUAGCAAUAACGGAUGGCACCCUCGUCCCCCAUUGCCAGGCGAGCGGCAGCCAUUUUGAAAUUUCCAAAGUCAAAGAGCGCAUCUACAGAUGUCUAUCAACAUUGUUGUAAAAUUUCAUCAAUUUUGGAGCAUUUUGAAUUUUUUGAAUUUUGUGUUGUUUCCAUGGAAACGGCGGUCAUUUUGGAAAAUUCCAAAGUCGAAUACCAACUCUUGAUGUGCCACUUAACAUGUCUGUCAAUUUUCAGAAAGUUUGGAGCAAUUUGAAAUUUUUGGACAUUUCUGCUGUUUCCAUGGUAACGGUGACCAUUUCCAAAAUUCCAAAGACACCUACCACAUUGGCACAUGAUAAGGAACAUACCAUUAAAGUUUCAAUGGUUGGAUAUACCAUAUUAAGAGUUUAAAUACUACUUUAAGAUUUUCCCCAUAGGGUUUAAUGCUAAACAUAUUUAGUUUCCAUGGCAAUAUAGUAGUUCCAAAGAUUCCCAAAAUCAUCUCAAACCUGUAUAUGGUGGACACCAACAAUAUAUAAAAAUUUGAUGAUUUUCAGUUCAGGAAUAUUCAAAUUAUUCACCAAAAACCAAAAAAAUAUUUUUUACAUUUGUUCUGUUUCCAUGGUAACGGCGGCCAUCUUGCACAUGCCAAAGUCUGCUGCACAACUUCACAUGGUGUUCCACAUUGUGGUAUAAUUCCAUCAACAUUGGUCCAUUCAAUUCCGAGAAAUAGCGUGGACAAAAUGUGUGGAAGAAUAAAAAUAAUAAGAAAACUAGAUUUGUAAUUGCUAGCAAUAACG